UGAACGGCGGCUGCUGGGCGAACAACUGCUCGGCGGCAGCUGGGUGAACGGAGACGGUGAUGGUGGUGAACGCCUCCAGCAAGCGUGGGUUCUCGGCUCCAGCACUCUCGGCGUCGUUGACAGGAACGGUGACAGGAAAAUCUUCUCCGGCGUUGGUUCUCGGCUCCAACACUCUCGGCGGCGGUGCGGGUUCUCGGCUCCAUCACUCUCGGCGGCGGCGUGCUUCUCAGCGUGGGUCUCUGCUGGUUGCUGGUUGCUGGUUCACGAUUCCAGCAGACCUCAUCUCUCUCAAAAUCCCUAGAAUUCCUCUACACAUCUAGCUCUCACUGCCUUUGAAAUCCCUCAUUUCAGUACAAAGGGACCAAAGCCCAAAUGAAUCCUCAUCAUAUCAUCUCACUGUUUCUAUGUGCAUCAUCUUCCCCCUUCUUUCUCUACGGAGCUGUCUAGGUUUCAUUUCAUUUACAACCAAGUGUGCUGUUGCAGCCCCAAAUUAGUAGAAAUUAAAUGAUGGCUUCUACUAAAGAUCAAGUUCUACAAGCUAGCAAAUACUGUCGGAAAUUGCACUAAAUGAUCAGGUUCGUCGCCUGAAAGAAUUUGGGGUUACCAAGGGAGAAUUGACUCGCUAUUUGGAUGUACUUUUGAAAGAUAGUGAACAUCUGGCAGCUAUGAUUGAUAAUGUGUCAUCUGUAGAUAAUUUGGAUUUCAUUAUGGAGAGUGACGCAUUGGGCCAUACAGUAAUGGACCAGAGGCAAGGACAUGAGAGUUUGGUCACUGUUGCUGGAACAAUUAAACUUGAGGAGGUAACAACUUUACUAUACAAGACUAGUUCUGUCUUUAGAAUCUGUACUGUGUUGAGCUUGAUGAUCUUCUGUAAGAACUUAGCUCUUCAUUCAAAUAAUAAUAUUAAAUUAAAUGGCAGUCUUGUUGAGGUAGUGUGGUUAUAUAGCUUUAUGGUGAAGUUUUAUUCAUCUUUGGGUGUGUUGUGCUUUUGUGCAAAAAAUUAAGCAGUUAUCUUAGUUUUGGUCAUUUGGUUAACUGGUGAACUAAAGUGUUUUUUUUUACCGUCUGUGCAGCCUCCUAGUAUAUAUUUAUUGAUCUUUUAUUCUCAGUUA